AUACCUUUCUCGGCCUUUUGGCUAAGAUCAAGUGUAGUAUCUGUUCUUAUCAGUUUAAUAUCUGUUACGUGGCCCAUCAGGCCACAUGAUAUUAAAUUAAUUUCUCUUAAUUGGGGGAGAGUCAAUCGCAGUAGCUUGCUACUGAGCCUCUCGAGCGUCGCCUAUGUGUAGCACUAUUGCACGGGCCUAGCGCACCCCAC